UAAAGAAUGUUUAGAUGUAAGUAGGAGCUCCUUUCAAGCCAAGACCGAGGGACGAGGAGCGGCAAGAGCUGCCUAGUCAUGCAUAUUGGUUAACCUUAACAAACAAAUUAUGUAUAGUGUUAAGAUUAACCAGUUGCAUGGCAAGGGAGCAACUACUUCCGCUAACUUGUCUCACUUAUUGGACUGAAGGGAGCUCCUAUCCAUUUAUAUAUAGUUAAGUUAACUAUAUAAAAUAUAUUAAUUUUGACCUUAGCUUGUUCUAGCUAGUUAAGCAGUACUAACAUUUUGAUAAAUAGUAAGUAACAAUUUUAUGCCACUUUUCAAUCGACUUCUCCGUGACUUUAAUUUUUCGAUAAAGAGGUUGAAAGAGAGACAUCAACAAGGCGUCGAGGAACUCAAUUAAGAUGAGAAUAUACAAUGUAUAUACAUUCUAAGACACUUUUGUAUAUUGUACUUUUGUUGUAGACAUAAAAGACUAUAUUUAGUUGGGACUCAACCCAUUUGUUUUGGGGUUGGUUGUGUGUGUAACCUAAGAUGAUUUUGGGCCUUGUCCUCUUCCUAUUUUGUAUGGAUUCAUACAUACAAAUGCAUAUAAAAAGCCCAACUCAGUGAGUAACAAUUACUUUGAGAG